rnacentral:tRNA from 1 species
GAGGGUAUCGCUCAGCAGUAGAGUGCAUGCUUAGUGCGCACGAGGUCCUGGGUUGAAUUCCCAGUAUCUCCG